GGCAGAAUGUAACGCGAAACUUCAGUAGACAAACUACACGCGUAGAUGCUUAAGUAUUGAAGUUUCUGGACGCGGGUUCGACUCCCGCCGUCUCCA
rnacentral:tRNA from 1 species